rnacentral:rRNA from 1 species
AGCAGCCGCGGUAAUUCCAGCUCCAAUAGCGUAUAUUAAAGUUGCUGCAGUUAAAAAGCUCGUAGUUGAAUUUCGGGACCAAUAUGUCGGUCGUGCCUCGGUACGUACUGGCAUCGUUGGUUUCUCCCUUCUGACGAACCAUGAUGUCAUUUAUUUGGUGUCGUGGGGAAUCAGGACUGUUACUUUGAAAAAUUAGAGUGUUUAAAGCAGGCUCACGCUUGAAUACAUUAGCAUGGAAUAAUGAAAUAGGACGUUUGAUUCUAUUUUGUUGGUUUCUAGGAUCGACGUAAUGAUUAAUAGGGAUAGUUGGGGGCAUUAGUAUUCAAUUGUCAGAGGUGAAAUUCUUGGAUUUAUUGAAGACUAACUACUGCGAAAGCAUUUGCCAAGGAUGUUUUCAUUAAUCAAGAACGAAAGUUAGGGGAUCGAAGACGAUCAGAUACCGUCGUAGUCUUAAACCAUAAACUAUGCCGACUAGGGAUCGGAUGAUUAGUUUUAAUUUUAAUGUACUNU